rnacentral:ncRNA from 1 species
AAGAGCCGUAUGAAGGGAGACCUUCACGUACGGAUCUAUGAGAAUCUCGGGUUGAAAUACCCGGGUUUACUUAA